AGCGAAACCUUAAUAUUGAUGAUAAGUAUUGAAGCAGAGUACAUAUAAUACUAUUGAAGACCAAAGCAAUAAGGAACCACAAUAUAUCAUUCUCCAAAAUCGGAUAAAUCAACAUAACUAAACAUAGCGAAUCACACCAAAUUUUCAAAUGAUACGGUUCUAACACUAGUGGUCUCCCAUGAAGAUGCGGUGGUGAUGUUGGAUGAAGAAUCAGUUAUCAGUAAGAAUGUUCCAAGGAUCUCUCAUGGCAUCUCAUCAUCUUCCUCGUUAUGAAGUUGGACUUGUGAAUAUCGAAUCCUCUCCAAUUCCAUUGAGACUUCUCUCAUAUUGGGCCGUUUCUUCACAUUCAAGUUCAGACAACUCCUCGCCAGGUUUGCCACCUCCUCGCCAGGUUUGCCACCUCCCUGACCAAGCACACAGUUUACACUGAGUUUUUCUGUGGCUUUCUUCAAUUCUUCUGAGCUGAACACUCUUGUCCUCUCAAUGUUUCCUUCGUUCGAAAUCAAUUGUUGUUGCAACAAUAGUCCUUCAUUAUGUUAUAAGAUGCUAAAGCUAAUGUAAAAUCAUGAGUUAUAAUAAGUAACUAACCGAAGAAACCUCAUCGGUUGCCUAUUUGGACCACCUUGCCUGCAACGCUGAAACUUCAAACAUUUCAUGCAUCUUAAUUUGUAUAAUUGCAAAAAGUCUACAUAGGUCUCCGUCUUAGUUUGUUUAUUUUGAAUAGUAUAGUCUUCCCUAAUUGAUAUGAGAAGAGCAGAAAUUGAUUGAUUGAAAAUGAACAGUUUGCACAGAUAAAUAAGGUCUGGGCUUUUCACAAUGGGUGGUGAACUGAUUAUCUUUAUCAGGCAAAUCCAUCUUAUUUUCUCUUCUCAUGCUCAUGCGUGUAUACAGUUCACAUUAGUUUCAAAUCAUCUACUUAAAAGAUAUAAGAAUACUACUUAAUAAUACAGACACUCACAGUUUACACGGACUGACACUCUAUAUCACUUUAAGCUCUUUCAGCCAUUCAGUAUGGAGGGGACAUGGAUCUGGUUUCCCUUCUGCAACCGCCUUCUCAGAGAGCGAAUAAAACCAACCAUUCCUCCAUUUAAACUGCAGUAUCAGUAAACUAGUUGAGACACAAGAUACUGGUGUACAAGCAGUUAAACAAGAGAGAUCAUGAUGAAUAUACAUAUCAUAUAUCAUAUAUGUACCUCUUUAACAGCAGUCGGGAAAUGAGAAACAGCUCGCGAGUAAGCACAGAGUCUCUCCACCAUAUUCUCUUCAAAGGUUAGUCCUUUCUCUGCAGCAGCAGCAGCUGCAAGUUCUUGGAUGAGUCUCGAUACCUGAAGGUAUAAAUAAUUAGAACUAAACAGUGAUUUUGAAUGCUAAAACGAAACAAGGAAUUGAAUUUUUGUACUUCAUCUCUAUAUUCUUUCUCCACCAUGCCAACACUUGCACCUGGAUGACGAGCUCCAACAAGCAUAAAUGCACAAAUCCAAAUGAGUUUCUCCAACAUUUGCUUUUGAAAAGCUUCUUUGUCAAGUACCUAACCUCACAAACACCAAAAAAACAAAACAUUUAGUUAAUUCAGGCAGUUGCUGUUUAAUCAAUAUAGAACAAAAGAUAAGCUUCUAGUAAUAACCUUGCAAGAGAGGCCACCAGAUUGCAAUCUUGCAGCUACCUCUGAAGCCCAUUUUCCAUAAGCAGCAGUUAGACCUUCUGGAUUAGUGUCAGUCUUUCCAUCCACUGGAGGUUCGCCGAGUUUUGACACAGCAAAAUAGGCCAAUACUUGGUCUGUAUCACCUAAACCUUUGCUCUCAAACCACGGCUCCAUCAUUCCAUUUUGGAAGAAGACCAAAUCUGAUUACAAACACCAUUUUUAGUAGACGAAGUUCAUGUCAUUGAAGAAACUUAUCAUAUCGUUCACACAUCCAAUCAAAUUUGGUAAUCUGAUAAUUUGAUCCUUACAAAUUCGGAUACAAUGUAGACUGAGCUCUGCCACGAUCGAACCCUUAAAACAUCUAACAAUUUGGUUCAGUAAACGAUUCUAAGUGCGUACGAAAGUUUCUACCUUUCCAUCUAGACGGAGGAGUAGCUUCAAGAACAGCAUCGAGAUCAUCAUUCCUAGUACAAACCAAAAUGGGUCCAUCAAAAUCAACCGGAACUGCUUCUCCUCUCUUCACCAACAAAUCCUCGCCAUUACCCAUUUCCUGUAACGCUCGUCCGACUCUUCCGCCACCCACAAUAACGGCUGGAGCCAGCUUUUUAGCGGUUGCAGCAGAUGCAGCCAUAGCCAUUGGGACGGAUAAUCUCACACUCCGAAGUGAGGGUUUAAUGGAUUCAGAGUGUCGGAGGAGAGAGAAACGAGCUGAAGCGGAGCAGGAAACAGCAAACAGAGUACUGCUGGCUUUAGCCAUGAUGACGAUAAUGGGCUUCGACGACGUUGUGGCCUCUCAUGGUGUGGACUAUUUUGGAACAGUAAUAGCCACUCGAUGGUUUGAGGCUCUUGCUUAUCGGUUUUGGAUGAGUCACGAGGAUAAAACGGCAUGACGUUAAAUAAAUUAAAAGCAAAACAGCAGGUAGUUGAUACUGUACGUGUUUGAAAGUUGUAACACAGUUCCCGCUGAGCCUCAAUCCAAUCAUCAACCUUCAGUUUCCCGACAAAGGAAACGACAAAAAGAUAAAUCAAAAUCCCACUAUUAUUUAUAGUGACCGUUGGGUCCUUGUAAAAUAGAGAAAAGGCAAAACAAAACACACACAUCUAAAAUCCUCUGUGUUAAGACAAGUAAAGAAGUCCAUCUGUGUCUUUGGCUUUGUGCUCGCACAAUCCCCAAUGGCUUAUUCAAAUUCAAAUGGAAACAUUGUGGAACUUUUAUAAAACGUUAGUUUCAGGUCAAACCUAACCCAACACCAUUGUCAAACACCUAUUUCUAGAAUUUAUCUUCAAAAUCUAUAAAGAUAUAAAAACACUUAGCUCACGGAAAGCUCUGAACUUGAAAGCAACCCAAAAAGGGAAAGGAAAAACAUGGCUGGUUCAAGCAAAGAGAAUGAUUUGUUGGGUGAAAACAAAGAAAAUGUGGACACAUUCUCAGGUUCUGUCUCCGUUAAGAAAGGAGAGAAUAAAGAGAAUGUCUCGCCGGAAAAAAGCUCGACGUCUGUUGAAACUCGGAAACAAGAUCGAGCUUUGAAGUCUCAAUCGAUGAAGGACAGUUCUGGGUUUCCCACGGAAGUUACAAAUUUCAAGUCUUUCUCAACUGGUGGCCGAACGGCUCUGAAGCAGACAUCGCUGCAAGCAUGUAUGCAGAUGAACAGUGAGGUCGAUAAGGGUAGCUUUGGAAUGAAAACUUGGACUAGUGUUGAUUCGGAGCAUUCCAGUUCGUUGAAAGUGUGGGAGUUUUCUGAUUCCGAAGCUGCCCCUGCUUCCUCUUGGUCUACUUUGCCCAACAGGUAAAAACAUUCCAAUUACCGAAAUUCUUAUGCUUUUCUUGUCCGAAACAUGUCUGAAACUAGAUAUACAAUUUGUUAAACAGGGCGUUGUUGUGUAAGACACUACCUUUGGAUGUGGGUAGAUGCACUUGUCUACUUGUUAAAGAACAAUCACCAGAAGGCUUACGCGAUGGAUCUGUAUAUUCUCUUUAUACACAUGUAAGUAUACUGAUAUCUUAACUAAUAUGAUGUUGUUUGAGAAGUGACAAGCAGUGAUGUCAAAACGUUCUGAUAGCUUACAAGUGUUGGAUGAAAUAUUUCAGGAAGGUCGGGGGCGAAAAGACCGGAAGCUGGCAAUGGCUUACCAUCGGCGGCGUCACGGGAAAUCUGUAUUUAGGGUGGCACAGAAUGUUAAGGGAUUAUUGUGCAGUUCGGAUGAAAGUUAUGUAGGUUCUAUGACGGCUAAUCUCAUGGGUUCCAAGUACUACAUAUGGGAUAAGGUUCUUGCUCACUAGUAUAAUCAGUCAAAUCUGAUAUAUUCUCUGUGCUUCUGCUCAAAGGUUUGGGAUUCAAGCUGAAUGUUUCUGGUCUUGUGAUUCCAUUGCAGGGAGUUCGAGUUAGUCCUGUAGGUAAAUUGGUGAAGCCGCUUCUUUCGGUUGUAAUGUGAGCUUUGGGGAUUUUAUGUUUUGUGUCUUUUGACAAUGACUCUCCCUUUAUGUUUGGUCUGCUAAUGCCAAUGUUGGUUUCUGCAGAUUUACACCCACCAUAGCUACUUGGACAGGGACCUACAGAAGGAUGAGAGCUAUCCUACCAAAGCAGCAGCCAGUGCAGAAGAACAACAAUAAGCAGGUAAAUGCCUAGUCUUAAAACUUCUCUCUAUCAAUCUAGCAUUCCGAAACAUACAACUGUUAAUACACUACAUUUGUAUCUCUUAUUAUAGGUCCAACAGGUAAGUAAACUACCACUUGAUUGGCUUGAGAAUAAGGAACAAGUUCAGAAGCUAUGCUCAAAGAUACCACAUUACAACAAAGUAAGUCCCAUAGGGCUUCAUUGUUAUCAUCUUCCAUUUACAGAAGCUUAGAUUGAUGAUACUGUUUCCCUAUCUUCAGAUCACCAAACAGCAUGAGUUAGACUUCAGAGACAGAGGACGAACAGGACUGAGAAUACAAAGCUCGGUGAAGAACUUUCAGCUCACACUUACGGUACGUUUCCACAACUUCUUUUAGCUAUUAUUCAAAACCAAUCUCUCAAGAAUCCUAAAACCCUGAGUAACUUGGCUUAUAGGAAAAUCCCAGGCAAACAAUUAUUCAAAUGGGAAGGGUGGACAAAGCAAAAUAUGUAAUCGAUUUCAGGUACUUGCUCAGUUGCUCGAACCCGGAUGAGAUGAACAUUCCAUACUUUUUAGCUUCAGAUUAAGGCUUUAGAGAUCAAAGAUUUAGUGGAUCAUACAACAACCUUUGCUUUAUAUGUUUGCAGGUAUCCAUUCUCGGGCUACCAAGCAUUCUGCAUUUGCUUGGCUUCCAUUGAUUCCAAGCUUUGUUGUACUGUUUGAUCACUAUAAAGUAGACGAGUUCAAUCUCUGAACAUCCCUCCAAUGAUCAUCAUCAUCUGUAAUUCCUAUCUUUUCUAGAUAAUCAAUAUUUCAAUCUGAGUUUCACAAACUACUUCAGUGCCUACCUCUCAAAUCAAAAUCACCCAAAAGAAAACUGAUACUGGAGAACUGUUAAAAAGAUUCAUACUUUAUUAUAUAAGACUGUCACAAGAAAGAAUAAUCGAUGUGUCAAUGUUGGUUUCCACAACCGAGAUUCCAAAAGAAAAAAAUAACUAAAAACAAAACUUAUCAAAUCCUUCUUCUUUAUCUUAUCAGAAGUAAUACUUUUUUAGCAAUCAUGUAACUCACUGUAGAAAUCAGGCGUAAGGAACGAAUCUAAAUCACCGAAGAUCACAUCAUCUUCCUCCGUCGUUAACUUGCCGGAGUUUUGACAGCCAAAAUACGUCUGUAUAUCUUCCGGGAAGCUUCGGCGAGGAGGAGCAAUCUCCGGAGGCGUCGAUGGUCCGACCAACUCUUCUGCAUUCAAAGGUGAAGACUUUAAGAGCUUUGUUUUCCGAUCAUCGUUGUCGUCUGACGAUGAUUGGCUCUGUGAUAACUCCGACUCGUGAUUUGGGCUGAGAUCAGACCGCGGGAUCUCCAGGGGAUGCUUGGCGGAGUCAGUAAGGUUCUCCGGCGCCGGGAGUUUUAGAUAACGGCUGAUAUCGAAGUUAGUAACGGCGUUAAGUCCACGAUACUCAAUUGCUGCUAUAUCAUACGCUAUGGCCGCUUCCUCUUGUGUAGCUACGCAAAACAUCAAGGGGUGCAAAAUGUCACAAACAAAACCUUGAGGAGGUAAAACAUAAUUUAUGGACUUAUUAGAUUACGCCUAAACUAUUAUGUAUUCGCGCAAUACGUAACGUAACAUUAUCAUGCGGUAAUUCAAUAAUCACAUUAUAAUUAUUUUAAAAAAUAAAAUAAAAAAAUCCGCUGAUAUAGGACAACAUAAUAAAUAGAAUUAAAUUGGCCAGUAAAAUUAGAUGAGCAACAUAUAAUUUAAACCAAUAAAUAUUAUUGAUGUAUGAUAACAUAAGAGAAAAGAAAGAAAAGAACAAUAUAAUAAAUAGAAGGCUUGACUAAGUGGUUGGGUUUGGUGAUCUAUUUCCCAACUAACACAAGAUCUGAUUACGUGCAUAUCAACCCCUAUUAAAAAGAUUUCUAAGUUGUAAAAAGAAGUUUUGUUAUUAUGAAGAGUGUGUGUAAUAUAUCUUUUAAUGUAUGAUAUUUUGUCUUGGAUAUCUAUAAUUUAAAGUAUUUAAAUAUGUAAACUUUCUUUUUUUUUGUUUUGUUUUAGUUAAGGGGAAAAAGGUUACCGUAGGUGCCAAGGUAUAAAUACUUAUUGCCAAAGACUCUUCCAAUUCGAGCUUCCCAUCUUCCAUUAUGGUGAUGCCUGCAAUGAAUCCAUAAUAACCAAUUUUAGUUAGCAUUGAGAAUUAUUAGUGUACGUAUUUGAUGAUAUUGUUAAAUUUUCUAAUACUACUAAAUAUGUUUGUUUAUGGAGGAGGAUUCAAAGUUUACUUUGCAACGCCUCUGUAUUUUGACACACCACGUGAAAACCCACUGCUUUUCCUGUUUUACUCCAAAAAUAAUUUUAUAUUAAUCAACUCUUAAAGUUUGUUAAACAAAAAGAAAUGAGUUAAUCACCAAUCAUUCAAAAAAGAAAAAACCAAUAACUGAAUUAAUAAUUACCUUCUCAAAGAUCCAAUAUACUCUUCCUUUGACUGGCUUUCCAUUUCUUUCAUGUCUUCUUCAUAAUUACACAACUAUAAAUAUAUACAAACAAACACACCAAAAUUAUAAAACUUAGAAAAUGUGAUAGCUGUAGAUGUAUGUAAUGCAAUGUAAUGUAAUAAACACUCUUCUUAAUUCCUUUUUUUUUUCUUAUGUAAAAACACGUAGGUAAGAAAAGAUCGUGAAUCAAACAAAAAGAUCAUGUGAAAAAAAAAGAAAAGAUAACUUAUAUAUAGAUUAUAGAUUCCGAGAAAAAUUACAGGGAAAUUCAAGAUGGUGUCUCGUCCCCAAUAUUUCAAUGCUGCUAAGUCGUAGGCACGUGCUGCUGCAUCUUCCUCGUCAUAUGCCCCUGCUCAAACAAAAAUAAAACCCCCAUUUUAUUACUGUUUUUACAAAUUUUCAUUUUUAUUCCGUUACAUAUAUAUGUCAGUUAGUUGUGUAUAAUGUAAGGACUUUAUAAAAAAGGCAAAUCAAAUAGUACUUUCUUCAGUAAUCAGAUUAUUUGUUUGUUUUAUUUCACGCCAUAGAUUAGAUGAUGCUAACAUGUACGCUUUUAUUAUAUAGAUUUUUUUGAACCACCAAGUUGGCUUUUAAAAAGCACUGAUAAAAAAUUAACGUUCUAAAAAUUAAAGCAUAAUUAAGAGUGAGGUAACUAAGGCAUCAACAUUCACUAAAUAAAAAGUAUAGUAGUGUCUACCAAUUUGGGAGUGCAAAAAGAAAAGAAAGAAAACGCCAUAUGUAAAAUGACCAACAAAAAACUCACCUAAAUAUACUGCACGUGAUGAGUCAGCCAAUUUUCCGGUCAGCAUCGUCAGAACAACCACACACAAAAAAAAAACAUAUUAACAACAACAAAAACUAAAAUAUACAAAUCAAAAUGUUGAAAUAAAGAACAGUAACGACGAACUCAUUCAUUUCUCCGGAGAAAUCGGAGUGAAAAGAUCAUAGCGAAUAUAUAUAUCAUCAUCAAUCUUUUAAUAAAUAAAUAACUCUUCAUAAAAUAUGAAAUAUAGAGAGACCUUGUCGUCCUUUCUUGGUCUGAGUAUCGUUCCAACUAUUCUUGUCCCACAAAUGUGCUUCGUACCUUCCUGUCCAUCUAUGCCUAUAUAAUCGGAAAAAGGCAUAUUCAAAACCCUGACGUUUUUUAUUUUUUUAAUUGAGUGUGUGUGUGUAUUGUUUCUCUCAAUGAUGGCUGCAAACCUGGUGACUCCUCUAUGGACGGAGCUGCGUUGUGGAGGAGCUUCUCGUGGUUGCGAUCGGCGUUUGCGUUUUGCCUUUAUCACCACUUGCCCUGCUGUCUCAUCCCCUGUUUCAUUCUCAACCAAUGUUUUCUUGCUCCUCCGUGUGAUCUCUUCCAUGACCGGAGAUACUUCGACGGCGAUGUACAUAUAUCAAGAAGAGAAACACAAGAAAGAUGAGAAACUUAUGAUGAAUGGAGUUUGUUUUUUUUUUUUUCUAUAUAUAAGGAGAGACUCACUGACUGUCUGACUGACUAUAAAGAGAAAUGGUUGAGUACAUUAUUAUUUAAAUUAAAAAAAAAAAGUUUCCGUUUAUUUAAUUUCAAAAAUUGUUUAGCUUUAAAAGAUGAUUUUCCAUAGCUACGGCCCUCUUUGUACUCCUUGUGUAAUUUUAGAUUUUUCUCAUUAAAUUUAAAUUCCUAAUCUCUUGUACCUGAAUUAAGUGAUUUAGCUUUGAAUUAAAAAAGUUUAAACUGAGACACAAAUGAGGAAUUGACAUGUGGAGGUUUGGGAUCCGCUUAGCCAAAAAAAAAAAACUUGGAGAAAGUAGGCAAGCAAAAUCGGAGCUCCAUAAUUUCUCGUCUUCUUGGUUGAUCUACUUUUUGGUCGGGCCGUGUUUUAUAAUAAUAAGUAGUAUAUAUUAAUAAUGCUAUGCUAAAAGACACACUACCUUCUUCUUCUUUUUUUCUUUUUUUCAUUCCAUAAUAUAAUUAUGUCCUUCCAAGAAAUUUAGCAUUUGAUUGAAAUCUUUGAUUAAAUUGUAAAAUAUGCACCCCACAAAAAAAAAAAACCUAAGAUAUGCAGAACUAUAUAUUUUACAUGUUUAUGCAGAGACGUGUGUUUUCCUUGCAAGAUAUAAAGGCAAUAUAUAUAUAUAGCCUUAAACCUCCAAACACAAAAACAAGAAAAGUGAUCAUCCCACAAUGUAAAAGGCAACCCUUUUCAUUUCAACAUUUGAUACUUAAGUUUCAUAGCAAAUAGAAAAGAAAGAAAGUGAUCAACCCAACAAUACUAAAACUUUCAAAUCAUAAUAUGUGAAAAUAAAUACUACAUAGUGUUAGCCGUGUAGCUAUUUUCUUUACGUGUAUUAUAACGUAAUAGAGAUUUUACGAGUGCGUUAUUCUAGUAAGUUUAAGACAGUUUUUUCUUAAUAUCAUUUCUAUUGAAUUACAAGUUGUAAUUUAAUGGGUGUACCUGCCCCUUAAUUAGAUGGGAGCAAAUGUCAACACUUAUGGUAAAAUUUGUCUACAAGAGUCCAAUCUAAAACGGGCCACAUGAUACAUUGAGUGUUAAGAAAUGCAAUGAAUCACCAACUUAAUUAAGUGAUACACUUGACAAAUUACAUGUUUGAAACCUAAUGAGAUUCUGAAUUCCAUACUAAUAGAUGAAGUAUUAAUACAAAUUAUAUUUUGAACGGGUGAUGAGGCUAGCUUUCCUAUAGAAAUGACGAUGUAAUCAUAAGUAAAACCCUGUUUUAAAAGUUUUCCACAUAUUUAGAUCGUCCCCUUACUCUUAACUAGUAACUAGUAUUAUAUUUGCAUUGCUCUAAUGCUCUCACAUAUUCAACAAAUGAACUUCAUAAAUAUAACUACGUUUAGUGCUAUUGUAUAUUAUAAAAUCUUGUUUUAACAUUGUCGACAAAGUUGAAACCAAAUAAUUUGUUUUCUUCUGUUGUCCCUUGAGGGGAAAAAAGAAGAGAAAAUGAUGCGUGAGAGAUGGAUGACUAAAUGCAAGCAGUGGUCACCUUUUCGGGUAUGCCAUCUUUUUACGGCGUUGGUCCAUCUUUCAGAGCUCUCACUUGGCAGCAUUUAACCAUUUUACGUGUCCCAACUGAGUCCCUGUCACCCAAUAACCACACGCCACAUCACCCCGACAGAGUCUGGCCAUAGUAGAUGUCCCGUACAGUCAAACACUGUGCUUGGCAUUGUGUACAAUAAUAUUGCGUAGGACAAAUUUCUCUGUAUUUUUUGUUUAUGUUCUUGUUAUCAUUUGCAUUUCGCCAAAGUAUGUAUAAUCUUGUCUCUCAAGUCUGUGAUCGUUCGGUUGACGUUAAAAUUUUGCAAUUGCAAUUCUUGAACACUUGAUUCUAUGUGGGAAAAUAAGAAAUUUUUGUUCAAGUUGACAAAAAAAUCCAAGCCCUAUUGUUGUCUCUCAAUCUAGCAAUCAAGUCAAAACAAAACGAAACUCAUUCUGCAGAUCCCCAGGGAUUGAUCUAUUCUAGGCUAACUUCAAAUUCUUGUGUUUCCUGAGAUAUAACAUCAAACUCAAGGAGAAAAUUUGCCCAACAAUGUAGCCUCCUAUAGCUCCAUAACACACACAUAUAGGCCACUCCUGUUUAAAAAUAAUGAUAGAAGGAUUAGUUUCUCUUAUAAAUGUACUCAGCAAGAACCAAGAACCAAUGUCUUAAUUGUAUAUUGAGGUAAAUGGACAUUACCUGCCAUGGCCUUUCCCAGUCAAGUGGCAUAGGCCAAGCUCCAAACCAUCCUCCAAUAAUUGCUCCAUAUGUUGGAAUCAAGAUCAUAUAUUCUACGUUUCUGGUUGGUCUAAAAGAAACAGAAAGAUAGAUUAACAACAGAUAUUGUGUGAAAUCAUAUAAGGUAACACCGACAACUUACUUUAGUGAAGCGAACACGCGAUGCCAAUUUGUCCAUGAUGCACCAAAAACUGCAGUUGCUGGUACAAUCUAUGAAAAUCAAAAUUGUUAGAUACCAUCAACGGAUUGUUCCAAACUGCAGAUAUACACACAAAUGUAGUGUAUCAACAUCGUUACAUGUUUGAAGUCAUUGAAAGCAAAGCAGGCAACUAACCGUGAAAACAGACAUUAGAAAGGACCAGUGUAUUGUUUUUGGUAGAGAUCUGCAUAAGAUGAGAAAAGCUAAUGCUCAUUUCAGCAGUUGAAAAUCAGGUAACCGCUUAGUAAAAAUGUGAUCACAAUCACCACCCAGGGGCCUCAUUUGUAAUCUGGACCGCUUUACAAACAACAUUUCCAGAAUAAGAAAGAAACCAAAAGAUUAAGAGAAACAAGAUCAUUGAUGAAACAUACUGCAGUCCAAUAGGUGCACCCAAAGAAACUGCUCCCAAAGCAUUUAUGAGAGCCCCUGUUAAACAACAAAACACACAAGUUUAGAAAAGUCACAAACUCACAAUCAAGGGAUAACGAAUCGGCAAGAGGCAAAAGAAGGUAAUACUCAUUCACAUCGUCAGGCCAAGAUUAACACUUCUGAAUUUUAAACUGAACUCAUCCAGCAAUUAACUUAUUUGAAAAAGUAGUGUGCUAUAAUAAGCUGAAAAACAAGAUUACUAACCGGAAAUUAGUCCUAUUAUGCUUCGCCCAAUAGCUCUAACGUACUGGAAAGCAAUGAGGAAUAAAUAAUUCAGAGAGUCAAAAACAUAGGAAACCAAAAUCUUCUCUAUAUGAAAUAAAAAAAGUGAUGAUACUUGGGUUGCUUUGUCGAUUUCUAUAAAAAAGGGAAAUGAACCAAGCACAAAGCAAUCGAGCUAAACGAGAAAGCCAGCUUCUUUUUAAUCACAGAGAACGCGGAGAUGAAGUACACUCACCGAGCAUUUCUCUGGGUUUAUUCUGAACAAGCUGUAAGUGACUACCACGAUCGGGAACUCAAUAAUCUGAAAUUUAACAUAAUUUAGCUGAAACCCACACACACACUAACACAUUUUAUAACCAGGUUGUAAAAGAAAGUUUUAGUACCCAUAGGAGACGCAGAGUGAGAGAUGGAUCAGAAACGAGAUCGACGGAGUACUUUUCACGGACCACCCAGAACCCGACGGCCAGAAACAAACCAGUGAUCAAAUAAACAAGAAAAGCCCCCGAAGCUGAUAUCGACACACCUGGCUUCUUCCUCUUCAUCGCUUCUUUCAUAGCUUUCUCUUCUGGGGUCUUUCGAAAUCGGGAACGAGUGAAGAAGACGCAGAAAUAUAUUGGGCUUUUAUUCUAUAUAUGACCCUUACACUAAUGGGCUUUAUUAGGCCCACGGAUUUUUUUGGUAAGCGGUGGCCGGAGUUAAUUAUGUAUGUAUGUAUGUGCCGGCGAAUCCAGAAGUCUCUGGUAGAUUAGCGGGACUUCCCCAUCUUUCCACAUUCCCGUGGGAGCUUAUCUCUCGAAAUGUCUCGUUUCUCUCCUCGGGUUCAUAUAUAUAGCUGCUUCCACCUGUUCAAAUUCUUCAUCAAGCAGAUAAACAAACAAUUACACAUCAAAGAAAUCGAUAAAAACCUACCUUUUCUAAUUCAGCGAAAUCUUCAAUUUUACUGAAGCUUAUUUUUAGCAAACAAUGGCGACUAAAUCAGAUAAAGCUAUUGGCAUCGAUCUCGGCACUACAUACAGCUGUGUCGGAGUUUGGAUGAACGACCGUGUGGAGAUCAUCCCUAACGAUCAGGGGAACCGCACGACACCGUCGUACGUCGCAUUCACUGACACCGAGCGGAUGAUCGGAGACGCGGCGAAGAAUCAAGUUGCGUUGAACCCUCAGAACACUGUCUUCGAUGCGAAACGUCUCAUCGGAAGGAGAUUCACUGAUCCUUCUGUACAGAGUGAUAUGCGACACUGGCCGUUCAAGGUUGUUUCCGGUCCUGGAGACAAGCCCAUGAUUGUCGUCUCGUACAAGAACGAAGAGAAGCAGUUUUCUCCUGAGGAGAUAUCUUCCAUGGUGUUGGUGAAGAUGAGGGAAGUCGCUGAGUCUUUCCUUGGUCACGCUGUUAAUAACGCUGUUGUGACUGUUCCUGCUUACUUCAACGACUCACAGAGACAGGCUACCAAGGACGCCGGAGCUAUCUCUGGGCUUAAUGUUCUGCGGAUUAUCAAUGAACCGACUGCAGCGGCUAUAGCUUACGGUCUGGAUAAGAAGGGCACGAAGACUGGUGAGAGGAACGUUUUGAUUUUCGAUCUCGGGGGUGGAACCUUUGAUGUUUCGCUCUUGACGAUUGAAGAAGGCGUUUUUGAAGUGAAAGCCACCGCUGGAGAUACUCAUCUUGGAGGUGAAGACUUUGACAACAGACUCGUGAACCAUUUCGCUGCGGAGUUCAGGAGGAAACACAAGAAGGAUAUUGCUGGGAAUGCGAGGGCUCUUAGGAGGCUGAGGACGGCUUGUGAGAGGGCAAAGAGAACGCUUUCUUCCACAGCCCAGACAACUAUUGAGAUUGAUUCUUUGCACGAGGGUAUCGACUUCUAUGCGACCAUCUCACGUGCCAGGUUUGAGGAGAUGAACAUGGAUUUGUUCAGGAAAUGUAUGGAUCCUGUGGAGAAAGUUCUUAAAGACGCCAGGCUUGACAAGGCCCGUGUGCACGAGGUGGUUCUUGUCGGAGGAUCUACAAGGAUUCCGAAAAUUCAACAGCUUUUGCAAGACUUCUUUAACGGGAAGGAGCUAUGCAAGAGCAUUAACCCUGAUGAAGCCGUUGCUUAUGGAGCUGCGGUUCAGGCUGCUAUCCUGACUGGUGAAGGAAGCGACAAGGUUCAAGAUCUCUUGCUUCUUGAUGUUGCACCGCUAAGCCUUGGAAUUGAGACAGCAGGUGGGGUGAUGACUGUGUUAAUUCCGAGGAACACCACGGUUCCUUGUAAGAAGGAGCAAGUGUUCUCCACGUAUUCGGACAAUCAGCCAGGCGUUCUGAUCCAAGUCUUUGAAGGGGAACGGGCAAGGACCAAAGACAACAACCUUCUUGGUACCUUUGAGCUCAAGGGCAUUCCUCCUGCCCCACGUGGAGUUCCUCAAAUCAAUGUUUGCUUUGACAUCGAUGCAAAUGGGAUCUUAAAUGUGUCGGCGGAGGACAAAACCGCUGGUGUAAAGAACCAGAUCACAAUCACGAACGAUAAAGGAAGGUUGAGUAAAGAGGAGAUUGAGAAGAUGGUGCAAGACGCUGAGAAGUAUAAGGCUGAGGAUGAGCAAGUGAAGAAGAAGGUCGAGGCCAAGAACUCACUGGAGAACUAUGCCUACAACAUGAGAAACACUAUUAAGGAUGAGAAGCUCGCCCAGAAGCUAGAGCAAGAGGAUAAGCAGAAGAUAGAGAAGGCAAUCGAUGAGACAAUCGAAUGGAUUGAAGGAAACCAGCUGGCAGAAGUUGAUGAGUUCGAGUAUAAGUUGAAAGAGCUAGAGGGUAUUUGCAACCCAAUAAUCUCAAAAAUGUAUCAGGGUAGUGCUGGUGCCGGAGGUCCCACAGGGGGCAUGCCAACAGAUGGUGGCUUUGGUGGUUCCAGUGGUGCUGGAGGUCCAAAGAUCGAAGAGGUGGACUAGAACGUAUGCAGAGUGCAGAGUGCAGAGUGCAAUAAGUGGUUAUGCGCCAUUGGAGUCUUUCUUUGUAUUGUACUAUUAUCUGAGAGUUUUAAGAGUGUUCAUAGGUGUGCUGCUAGAUACACCACUGAAAGUAAUUUAGUUGUAUGCUAUACACGUUUCUGUAUUUCGAGUAAUAAAGAAAGUUUUCUUUUCUCAGGAGUGUGGCUACUGUUCCAUUGACAGUUCUACAUGAAAUUUGUGCAGUAUUUGUUGCACAAACACAACUCUCUAUAAAUAUGUUCUCUAUGAAUAUGUUCAUUGAGAGUUCUCAUCUAACACAUAUGCUUAAGGAAGUGUGUUGAUAACGAUAGAUUUCCUUUGCUUGUUGGAUUUGUCUUUGUCCUGAUAAAGGAAGAGUCAGAACAGAGAAUUUUGAACUUUCUGUGUCAGAAGGAAAGAAUGUUUGAUCCCUAACUUGUCACUUCAGAACAUGUUCUGUCUUGGCCCCACCCACAGAUAUAUAUAUACACAUUCUAUCUUCAUAACAGUCACAUCUCAAAUCCACAAAGCUCAGACAAGCAAUGGAGAGAGGAUCUGUUGCAUUGUUAUUCCUUUUCCUCUUCUUUCUCUGCUUCCCCUUCUCAUCAGAUUCCCAGAAAGUCAAUCCAUCCACGAGCUUACUCAUCCAAGAACAAGCCCAUGGUGCUCUGUUUUAAGCAGAUAUUGUUUCUCUUAUAUUAAUAUGACCAGAGAAGUUAAGCAUCACUAACUUGUGUUUGUCCUUUUUAUAGAAGAAGUUACAAUCAAAGACAUAAAAGGAGAAGAAGAUGACAAAAGCAUUGACAUCUUUCGGGCAGGGAAAGGAAGUCAUGGAGUUGCAGGUGGAAGAGGCGGAGGGCGGAAAGCAUCUCCAAAAAAAGGUAAUGCCACCAUGGACCAUCAGCCAGCGUUGUUCUUCUCCGCUGCAUCCGUUCUAUUCACUGGUUUUAUAAUGUUUUCAUUACCUUCUUUCGACAUGUCAAUAAGAUUCUGUUGUGCCUAAACAAAUGUCUUAACCUGAGAGUGAACAUAUGUACUAAAUAUUGUAAACUUUUGAAAAAUCUAUUGGAAAGAAAAUGGAGUAACACUUGUAUAGUACUAAUAGUUAGGAGUGGGUACAUUCAACCAAACCGAGAAUAAAGAACCACGAAAAAGAUGCUUUCCUACGCACAAAACAAAAAAAAUUUGUUUGCACUCUGAUCGAAAGUGGAAUCGUUGUUACAUACCUACAGGCCAACCAAGAACACAAUUUACUUCCCACAACAAAAUUAAUGGCUGAGAGAGGACUCAUUACUUCUUCUGAGCUAUUGUUCGCUUACUACAUGAAACUAAAAGGAACCUCUUCCCAAAACUAAAGAAGAAAGAACACAAAACUUAGUCCAUCAAGAAUGCUCCGCUGCAAUACCUGAUUCAGUCCCAGCACUUUUUGUCAGAAAAGUCAUGAAUUUGUUUCCAAGGCAGAGUAUUUGGUUGGUAAGUAGCAAUACCUGUUGCUGAAUCUUCCAACAGUAUCUGUGGUUUCAAGAAGAGUGUCGCUGCCUUUCUCCAAAGCCAUAUAAAGCUCUUUGCCUCUGGUCACACGGGCAAUCACCCAUGCGUUGUUCUUAGUUCUGAUGCAUAUUUCGAUGUCUUUCUCCUGCCUUUUCACACGGUUUUUUUCUAAAUCCACUUCUUCUCUAAGCUUGUUUAGUGCAAGUAGAGACUCCUGUGUUUUCAGAAUUCACACACUUUUGAGUCCAAGGUGGUAGUAUUCAGCUAGUAAACCAUAAAAACUGAAAGACGUUACCUUUGCAAGCGUUGCUACUUUUCCUGUAGGAGACGCUCUGGAAACUUCCAUGUCAUUAUCAACUACUAAGUAACGAUAUCCUUUAAUAUGGUAAGCAUUUUUACCGACCCACCCUUUUGAAAUCUUCUCUUCAAUUUUCCAAAUUCUCAGUGAUGCCUGGAAAAGAGAUAUUGGGUAUAUAUUAGAAUACACCCACAAACGAUAUUCACCAUGAAAAAUCGAUGGGUGAUGUGCUAACAUCUUCAAUAACUUGUUGUUUCACGGCUGAGACGUUUAGAUCUCCAUUGACAAUGGCAUUUAUAGGCAUGAGAAGA
rnacentral:lncRNA from 1 species